AACGCUAGCUACAGGCUUAACACAUGCAAGUCGAGGGGUAACAAGAGGAAAGCUUGCUUUUCUUGUUGACGACCGGCGCACGGGUGAGUAACGCGUAUCCAACCUGCCUAUAACUAGGGAAUAACCUUGCGAAAGUAAGACUAAUACCCUAUGAUUUCCUUUGAUGACAUCAGAUUAGGAAUAAAGAUUUAUCGGUUAUAGAUGGGGAUGCGUCUGAUUAGCUUGUUGGCGGGGUAACGGCCCACCAAGGCAACGAUCAGUAGGGGUUCUGAGAGGAAGGUCCCCCACAUUGGAACUGAGACACGGUCCAAACUCCUACGGGAGGCAGCAGUGAGGAAUAUUGGUCAAUGGGCGGAAGCCUGAACCAGCCAAGUAGCGUGCAGGAUGACGGCCCUAUGGGUUGUAAACUGCUUUUAUACAGGAAUAAAGUUAGCCACGUGUGGUUAUUUGUAGGUACUGUAUGAAUAAGGACCGGCUAAUUCCGUGCCAGCAGCCGCGGUAAUACGGAAGGUCCAGGCGUUAUCCGGAUUUAUUGGGUUUAAAGGGAGCGUAGGCCGUCUGUUAAGCGUGUUGUGAAAUGUAGAUGCUCAACAUCUGAAUUGCAGCGCGAACUGGCAGACUUGAGUGUGCGCAACGUAGGCGGAAUUCGUGGUGUAGCGGUGAAAUGCUUAGAUAUCACGAAGAACUCCGAUUG
rnacentral:rRNA from 1 species